GAUGAAGAACGCAGCGAAAUGCGAUAAGUAAUGUGAAUUGCAGAAUUCAGUGAAUCAUCGAAUCUUUGAACGCACAUUGCGCCCGCCAGUAUUCUGGCGGGCAUGCCUGUCUGAGCGUCAUUUCAACCCUCAUGCCCCUAGGGCGUGGUGUUGGGGAUCGGCCAAAGCCCGCGAGGGACGGCCGGCCCCUAAAUCUAGUGGCGGACCCGUCGUGGCCUCCUCUGCGAAGUAGUGAUAUUCCGCAUCGGAGAGCGAUGAGCCCCUGCCGUUAAACCCCCAACUUUCCAAGGUUGACCUCAGAUCAGGUAGGAAUACCCGCUGAACUUAAGCAUAUCAAUAAGCGGAGGG
rnacentral:misc_RNA from 1 species